rnacentral:rRNA from 1 species
AACGCGAAGAACCUUACCUGGUCUUGACACCCACGGAAGUUUUCAGAGAUGAGAAUGUGCCUUCGGGAACCGUGAGACAGGUGCUGCAUGGCUGUCGUCAGCUCGUGUUGUGAAAUGUUGGGUUAAGUCCCGCAACGAGCGCAACCCUUAUCCUUUGUUGCCAGCGGUCCGGCCGGGAACUCAAAGGAGACUGCCAGUGAUAAACUGGAGGAAGGUGGGGAUGACGUCAAGUCAUCAUGGCCCUUACGACCAGGGCUACACACGUGCUACAAUGGCGCAUACAAAGAGAAGCGACCUCGCGAGAGCAAGCGGACCUCAUAAAGUGCGUCGUAGUCCGGAUUGGAGUCUGCAACUCGACUCCAUGAAGUCGGAAUCGCUAGUAAUCGUGGAUCAGAAUGCCACGGUGAAUACGUUCCCGGGCCUUGUACACACCG